rnacentral:rRNA from 1 species
ACGCGUAUGAAGGUCAAGCUGAAAGACUUUACCCAAUGACGUAAGUGGUGGUGCAUGGCCGUUCGUGGUUCGUGGAUUGAUUCGUCUGGUUAAUUCCGAUAACGAGCGAGACCCUAUCGUUCUAAAUAUGGAGUUGCAGCCCGAUUAGCCGAAAGGUUGAUUAGCCGUAGCUUUGUAUCAGCUUCUUAGACGUAUCAGGGCCGAUAAGGUCCUUGAAAUGGGUUAAUAACAGGUCAGUAUGCCCUUAGAUGUUCUGGGCCGCACGCGCGUUACAAUGGCACGUAAAGCGAGUGCUCCUGGUGGGCCCCGCGUUGGUUGAAAGGUCAGCGGAAUCCAUAGAGCCUGCCUUGACUGGGCUAGGUCAUUGUAACUAUUGGUCUUAAACGAGGAAUUUUUAGUGAUCGCCAGGUCAUUAAUCUGCGCUGA